rnacentral:lncRNA from 1 species
ACAAUAUUAAAAAUUAUAAAAUUUAUCUACUAAAUUGUUUGAAUGUUCUAGAUCGUUUUUAACGGUGUCGAUUAACGAUUCAAAUGCGCGAUCAUUGAAAAUAGAGCAGCUAACACAAAGGAUUCGUGCUAUCUAUAGUAUAAUACUAGUGUAGGCCCGCGCUUCGCGGCAGAAAAUUUACGUAAUUUUUAAAAUAUUUUAAAUAAUAUUUUUAAUGUUUUAAUUUUUAAAUCUAAUUUAAAAUUUUAAACAUAAAAAAAUUAAAUAUAAAAAUUAUAUAUAGUAAAUAAAUAUAUAUUUAUAAAUAAAAUUAGAUAUAUAUAAAUUAGAUUUAAAAUUUAAAUUUUGAAAUUUAUAUAUAAAA